rnacentral:rRNA from 1 species
CACGUAGGGGGCGAGCGUUGUUCGGAAUUACUGGGCGUAAAGGGCAUGUAGGCGGCCUUGUAAGCCUGGCGUGAAAGUCACUGGCUCAACCAGUGGAUUGCGUCGGGAACUGCAGGGCUUGAGUCACGGAGGGGAGAGUAGAAUUCCUGGUGUAGGGGUGAAAUCUGUAGAGAUCAGGAAGAAUACCAGUGGCGAAGGCGACUCUCUGGCCGAUGACUGACGCUGAGGUGCGAAAGUGUGGGGAUCAAACAGGAUUAGAUACCCUGGUAGUCCACACUGUAAACGAUGUGCACUAGGUGCUGGGACGGAUGUUUCAGUGCCGGAGCUAACGCGGUAAGUGCACCGCCUGGGGAGUAUGCUCGCAAGGGUG